rnacentral:rRNA from 1 species
GCUUAACGCGAAGAACCUUACCUACUCUUGACAUCCACGGAACUUAGCAGAGAUGCUUUGGUGCCUUCGGGAACCGUGAGACAGGUGCUGCAUGGCUGUCGUCAGCUCGUGUUGUGAAAUGUUGGGUUAAGUCCCGCAACGAGCGCAACCCUUAUCCUUUGCUGCCAGCGGUUAGGCCGGGAACUCAAAGGAGACUGCCAGUGAUAAACUGGAGGAAGGUGGGGAUGGACGUCAAGUCAUCAUGGCCCUUACGAGUAGGGCUACGACACGUGCUACAAUGGCGCAUACAAAGAGAAGCGACCUCGCGAGAGCAAGCGGACCUCAUAAAGUGCGUCGUAGUCCGGAUUGGAGUCUGCAACUCGACUCCAUGAAGUCGGAAUCGCUAGUAAUCGUAGAUCAGAAUGCUACGGUGAGUACGUUCCCGGGUCUUGUACACACCG